ACCAUCCUUUUCUUGAGGUAGUGCUACUGUCCUAUGAACAAGUGGUGAGGGCAGUACUGCUACUGCCUACACAAAAAUUUAAAUACAAGUUUAUAUAAAAUAAACUUUUUAAAAA
rnacentral:ncRNA from 1 species